AGAAUCAACGCUGGCGGCGUGCCUAACACAUGCAAGUCGAACGAGAAAGUGGAGCAAUCCAUGAGUAAAGUGGCGACCGGGUGAGUAACACGUGACUAACCUACCUUCGAGUGGGGGGAUAACCUCGGGAAACCGAGGCUAAUACCGCAUAACAUCGCAAGAUCAAAGCAGCAAUGCGCUGGAAGAGGGGGUCGCGGCUGAUUAGCUAGUUGGCGGGGUAAUGGCCCACCAAGGCGAAGAUCGGUAGCCGGCCUGAGAGGGCGCACGGCCACACUGGAACUGAAACACGGUCCAGACUCCUACGGGAGGCAGCAGUGGGGAAUUUUGCGCAAGUGGGGGAAACCCUGACGCAGCAACGCCGCGUGGAGGAUGAAGCCCCUUGGGGUGUAAACUCCUUUCGACCAAGACGAUAAUGACGGUACUGGUGGAAGAAGCACCGGCUAACUCUGCGCCAGCAGCCGC
rnacentral:rRNA from 1 species